AUUUGCGCCGAAGGUAUACCGGUAAGGAGUGCUGGAGCGAAUAGAAGUGAGCAUGCAGGCAUGAGUAGCGAUAAUUAAUGUGAGAAUCAUUAACGCCGUAAACCCAAGGUUUCCUACGCGAUGCUCGUCAUCGUAGGGUUAGUCGGGUCCUAAGUCGAGUCCGAAAGGGGUAGACGAUGGCAAAUUGGUUAAUAUUCCAAUACCAACAUUAGUGUGCGAUGGAAGGACGCUUAGGGCUAAGGGGGCUAGCGGAUGGAAGUGCUAGUCUAAGGUCGUAGGAGGUUAUACAGGCAAAUCCGUAUAACAAUACUCCGAGAACUGAAAGGCUUUUUGAAGUCUUCGGAUGGAUAGAAGAACCCCUGAUGCCAUCGAGCCAAGAAAAGUUUCUAAGUUUAGCUAAUGUUGCCCGUACCGUAAACCGACACAGGUGGGUGGGAUGAGUAUUCUAAGGCGCGUGGAAGAACUCUCUUUAAGGAACUCUGCAAAAUAGCACCGUAUCUUCGGUAUAAGGUGUGGUUAGCUUUGUAUUAGGAUUUACUCCGAAAGCAAGGAAACUUACAACAAAGAGUCCCUCCCGACUGUUUACCAAAAACACAGCACUCUGCUAACUCGUAAGAGGAUGUAUAGGGUGUGACGCCUGCCCGGUGCUCGAAGGUUAAUUGAUGGGGUUAGCAUUAGCGAAGCUCUUGAUCGAAGCCCGAGUAAACGGCGGCCGUAACUAUAACGGUCCUAAGGUAGCGAAAUUCCUUGUCGGUUAAAUACCGACCUGCAUGAAUGGCGUAACGAGAUGGGAGCUGUCUCAAAGAGGGAUCCAGUGAAAUUGUAGUGGAGGUGAAAAUUCCUCCUACCCGCGGCAAGACGGAGAGACCCCGUGGACCUUUACUACAGCUUGACACUGCUAUUUGGAUAAGAAUGUGCAGGAUAGGUGGGAGGCUUUGAGUAUAUGACGCCAGUUGUAUAUGAGCCAUUGUUGAGAUACCACUCUUUCUUAUUUGGGUAGCUAACCAGCUUGAGUUAUCCUCAAGUGGGACAAUGUCUGGUGGGUAGUUUGACUGGGGCGGUCGCCUCCCAAAUAAUAACGGAGGCUUACAAAGGUUGGCUCAGAACGGUUGGAAAUCGUUCGUAGAGUAUAAAGGUAUAAGCCAGCUUAACUGCAAGACAUACAAGUCAAGCAGAGACGAAAGUCGGUCUUAGUGAUCCGGUGGUUCUGUGUGGAAGGGCCAUCGCUCAAAGGAUAAAAGGUACCCCGGGGAUAACAGGCUGAUCUCCCCCAAGAGCUCACAUCGACGGGGAGGUUUGGCACCUCGAUGUCGGCUCAUCGCAUCCUGGGGCUGGAGCAGGUCCCAAGGGUAUGGCUGUUCGCCAUUUAAAGCGGUACGCGAGCUGGGUUCAGAACGUCGUGAGACAGUUCGGUCCCUAUCUGCCGUGGGCGUAAGAAGAUUGAAGAGAUUUGACCCUAGUACGAGAGGACCGGGUUGAACAAACCACUGGUGUAGCUGUUGUUCUGCCAAGAGCAUCGCAGCGUAGCUAAGUUUGGAAAGGAUAAACGCUGAAAGCAUCUAAGCGUGAAGCCAACUCUAAGAUGAAUCUUCUCUAAGCUCUCUAGAAGACUACUAGUUUGAUAGGCUGGGUGUGUAAUGGAUGAAAGUCCUUUAGCUGACCAGUACUAAUAGAGCGUUUGGCUUAUCUUUAAUAAAGCAU
rnacentral:rRNA from 1 species